UCCAACUUAUCGCUGGCGGUCUCCUGCGAGUUCCGGCUUGCGCCAUGGCAACACAGGACAAGGGUUGCGCUCGUUGCGGGACUUAACCCAACAUCUCACGACACGAGCUGACGACAGCCAUGCAGCACCUCGACUGGACCUCCUUGCGGAGUAACCAUGUUUCCAUAGUCGUUAACCAGCCGUUCGAGCCCAGGUAAGGUUCUUCGCGUUGCGUCGAAUUGAACCACAUGCUCCACCGCUUGUGCGGGCCCCCGUCAAUUCCUUUGAGUUUCAGCCUUGCGACUGUACUCCCCAGGCGGCACAUUUAACGCGUUAGCUCCGGCACGGAUGAACUGAAUCACCCACACCAAAUGUGCAUCGUUUAGGGCGUGGACUAC
rnacentral:misc_RNA from 1 species